rnacentral:rRNA from 1 species
GGGCUUACGGGGGAUACCUAGGUAUUCAGAGGCGAAGAAGGACGCGGUUACCGGCGAAACGCUUCGGGGAGCUGGAAACAAGCUAUAAUCCGUAGAUAUCCGAAUGAGGAAACUUUUUAAACUAUCUACCGAAUUCAUAGGUAGAAAAGAGCGAACCUAGCGAAUUGAAACAUCUUAGUAGCUAGAGGAAAAGAAAGUAAAAACGAUUCCCUUAGUAGCGGCGAGCGAACUGGGAGAAGCCUAAACUUUUUCCUUAAAUACAAAUUUAAGAAAAAAGAGUUGUGGGACAAUUAAAAACGAAUCGUAAUUUUAAGUUAGAUGAAUUAGUUGGAAUACUAAAUCAUAGAAAGUGACAAUCUUGUAGUCGAAAACUUAAAGCUAUUUAAAUUGUAUCCCGAGUAGCAUGGGGCACGUGAAAUCCCGUGUGAAUCCGCGAGGACCACCUCGUAAGGCUAAAUACUACUGAAUAACCGAUAGUGAAACAGUACCGUGAGGGAAAGGUGAAAAGAACCCCGGGAGGGGAGUGAAAAGAACAUGAAACCGUAAGCUUACAAGCAGUAGAAGGACGACUUAUAACGUCUGCCUGCGUGCCUGUUGAAGAAUGAGCCGGCGACUUGUAUUUGGUGGCAUGGUUAAGGUAAGAAAUACCGGAGCCAUAGUGAAAGCGAGUCUGAAUAGGGCGUUAUGUCACCAAUUACGGACCCGAACCCGGAUGAUCUAACCAUGACCAGGAUGAAGCUUCGGUAAUACUAAGUGGAGGUCCGAACUGACUGAUGUUGAAAAAUCAGCAGAUGAGUUGUGGUUAGGGGUGAAAUGCCAAUCGAAUUCGGAGCUAGCUGGUUCUCCCCGAAAUGUGUUUAGGCGCAGCGGUUAGUGUUAUAGCUUAGGGGUAAAGCACUGUUUCGGUGCGGGCUGGUAAUUCGGUACCAAAUCGACGCAAACUCUGAAUACUAAGUGUAUAGCUAACCAGUAAGACUAUGGGGGAUAAGCUCCAUUGUCAAGAGGGAAACAGCCCAGAUCACCAGCUAAGGCCCCUAAAUAAUUGCUAAGUGAUAAAGGAGGUGGGAAGACUCAGACAACCAGGAGGUUUGCUUAGAAGCAGCAAUCCUUUAAAGAGUGCGUAAUAGCUCACUGGUCGAGUAAUCCUGCGCCAAAAAUGAAUGGGACUAAGUAAUUUGCCGAAGCUGUGAGAUAUUAAAAAAAUAUAUAUUAUAUCGGUAGGGGAGCGUUCUGUUAUAGAUUGAAGCGUUAGCGUAAGCGGGCGUGGACGAAACAGAAGUGAGAAUGUCGGCUUGAGUAGCGAAAACAUAGGUGAGAAUCCAAUGCCCUGAAAACCUAAGGUUUCCUCCGGAAGGCUCGUCCGCGGGGGGUAAGUCAGGACCUAAGGCGAGGCUGAAAAGCGUAGUCGAUGGACAAUAGGUUUUAUUCCUAUACUAUUCUUUAUUGACAACGAGGGACGAAGAAAGCUAAACUAGCCAACUAAUGGUUAUUGGUUUAAAUGUACAAGGUGUUGAGAAGUAGAGAAAAUACUUUGAGCUAAGUCAUGAAUACGGAAUAACGUGCGCGUUAUAUGAAGUAGUUGAUGUUAUACUUCCAAGAAAAGCUUGCACUGUCAUAAAUAAAGAAUACCUGUACCCUAAACCGACACAGGUAGGUUGGUAGAGUAUACCAAAGGGCGCGAGAUAACUCUCUCUAAGGAACUCGGCAAAAUAGCCCUGUAACUUCGGGAAAAGGGGUACCUUUUAGGUUGCAAUAACAAGGUCCAAGCGACUGUUUACCAAAAACACAGGUCUCCGCUAAGUUGUAAAACAACGUAUGGGGGCUGACGCCUGCCCAGUGCCGGAAGGUUAAAGAAGUUGGUUAGUUUAUGACGACGCUAAUAACUGAAGCCCCGGUGAACGGCGGCCGUAACUAUAACGGUCCUAAGGUAGCGAAAUUCCUUGUCGGGUAAGUUCCGACCUGCACGAAUGGCAUAAUGAUGGCGGCGCUGUCUCCAGCAGAGACUCAGUGAAAUCGAAAUCGCAGUGAAGAUGCUGUGUACCCGCGGCUAGACGGAAAGACCCCGUGAACCUUUACUACAGCUUUACAUUGAACUUUGACCUUACCUGUGUAGGAUAGGUGGGAGGCUUUGAAGCAGGCACGCCAGUGUCUGUGGAGCCAUCCUUGAAAUACCACCCUGGUAAUGUUGGGGUUCUAACUCAAGCUUAACAGAGCUGAGGACAAUGUAUGGUGGGUAGUUUGACUGGGGCGGUCUCCUCCUAAAGAGUAACGGAGGAGUACGAAGGUGCGCUCAGAACGGUCGGAAAUCGUUCGAAGAGUAUAAAGGCAAAAGCGCGCUUAACUGCGAGACCCACAAGUCGAGCAGAUACGAAAGUAGGUCUUAGUGAUCCGGUGGUUCUGUAUGGAAGGGCCAUCGCUCAACGGAUAAAAGGUACUCUGGGGAUAACAGGCUGAUACCGCCCAAGAGUUCAUAUCGACGGCGGUGUUUGGCACCUCGAUGUCGGCUCAUCUCAUCCUGGGGCUGAAGCAGGUCCCAAGGGUAUGGCUGUUCGCCAUUUAAAGAGGUACGCGAGCUGGGUUUAGAACGUCGUGAGACAGUUCGGUCCCUAUCUACCGUGGGCGUUGGAAAUUUGAGAGGAUCUGCUCCUAGUACGAGAGGACCAGAGUGGACGAACCUCUGGUGUUUCGGUUGUGACGCCAGUCGCAUUGCCGAGUAGCUAUGUUCGGAUGGGAUAACCGCUGAAAGCAUCUAAGCGGGAAGCCCACCUUAAGAUUAGAUUUCCCUAAAGAGCCGUUGUAGACUACGACGUUGAUAGGUUGGGUGUGGAAGCAUAGUGAUAUGUGUAGCUAACCAAUACUAAUUGCUCGUUUGGCUUGACUAU